UCCGAUAUGGUGUAGUGGCUAACAUCGCUCGCUCUCAACUUCUGGUUGAAGCACCGAGCAGCCCUGGGUUCGAUUCCCAGUAUCGGAG
rfam:Trichoderma virens Gv29-8 TRIVIscaffold_93, whole genome shotgun sequence.